AUGAAUCAUGGAUCUCUUGUGACCAAUCAAGAGAUAGACAUUCUCAACCAGGUUUGGAAGAGCAGAACUUUGGCUCCUAGAGUUAAAACUUUUGCUUGGAGGCUUAUUAGAAGGGCUAUUGAUUCAGCUUUAAGGGCCUCUGGAUUUUCCAAACACAUUAAAAAGGAGUGUUGUAGGUGCGGCUGUGUUGAAUUUGAUUUGCACCUUUUCUUCCUAUGCACCUUUUCUAGAUCUGUUUGGUUUAAAUUAGGUUUUAAAUCAGAUAUAUUAGAUCAUAAUUUAUAUCCUCCUGAUGUCAUCAACCUGAUCUUGUCUAUCAAUCACCCAGAUUUAAAUUUAGAGUUCAUCUUUACUACUUUGUGGAAUAUUUGGAGGCCAGAUGUGACAUUCUGUUUAAAAAGAUAA
rnacentral:rRNA from 1 species